CGGGAUACCACCGGGAUCCCCGGCCCAUUCCCUGGGAGAAAGCCCCGCGAGGGAAAUUACCACGAGUUUUAUUUGCGGUCCAUUUGGAAGCCCACGAGGCAGGGAUUUCCCGGCCCAAUCCGCGGGGAAACCAUAGGGAAAGGACCCCGACCUCCCGAGGUCAGGAUUUUUUCCUCUCCCAAUCCGCCGCUCCGUUGUUUCUCUCUCGCGCAAGAGCGGGGCGCCGCCGUGCCUCCUUCUCCGGCGAGACGCGCCACCGCCGUGCCCUCCUCCUCCGGCGAGUCGCACCACCGCCGGGACUCCUCCUCUGGCGAGAAGGGUAAGCCCUUCUCCUCUUUCCCUCCUCUCCUCCUCCUAGGCACUCGCAUCGCAGGCACCGAAGCGCGGGCGGUGACGCGGCGGUGCGCCGGCAACGCGGGCGCACAACUCCGAGCAGACGGGGGACAAGGGGGAGAGGCGGCGCGACGCACCGGCGAGGAGGCGUUGAGGCGCACAAGGCGGCGCGACGCACCGGCACCCACGAGGCAGGGAUUUCCCGGCCCAAUCCGCGGGGAAACCAUAGGGAAAGGACCCCGACCUCCCGAGGUCAGGAUUUUUUCCUCUCCCAAUCCGCCGCUCCGUUGUUUCUCUCUCGCGCAAGAGCGGGGCGCCGCCGUGCCUCCUUCUCCGGCGAGACGCGCCACCGCCGUGCCCUCCUCCUCCGGCGAGUCGCACCACCGCCGGGACUCCUCCUCUGGCGAGAAGGGUAAGCCCUUCUCCUCUUUCCCUCCUCUCCUCCUCCUAGGGUUCCCGUUCUCCUCCUCUAGGGUUUUCACCUCCUCUCCGCACUCGCAUCGCAGGCACCGAAGCGCGGGCGGUGACGCGGCGGUGCGCCGGCAACGCGGGCGCACAACUCCGAGCAGACGGGGGACAAGGGGGAGAGGCGGCGCGACGCACCGGCGAGGAGGCGUUGAGGCGCACAAGGCGGCGCGACGCACCGGCAGUUUGUUUCUUGAUUUGGUUUAUUUCUUAAUUUUCUGUCCAUGUCAAGUCCGAUCUGUUCGUGCGCGAUGA
rnacentral:lncRNA from 1 species